rnacentral:lncRNA from 1 species
UGGCGAGGUCAAAGGAGGCGGAGGCUCCGGCUUUUUGCCGUUUUGGUGCAAGGUCAACAGAGGGAGGUCAGACCUCAGGACGAGGCGCGGGUGGUGUACCCGAGGAGGAGCGCCGCACAUGGGGGCUAGGGUUUCUUCUUUUUUUUUUGAAAAGAUGUUUAGGCUUUGGGCUUGUUAGGCCACUAGGGUUUUUUUUUGUAAUUUGGAACUGUUGGGUUUGUUGUAAAUGGACUUGAUAUUUGGACUUUUUAUUCAUUUGGGUUUUAUUUAUUAUUUGUAUUUGGUCUUGGGCCCAGGUGAAAUUGGGCCAUUACAAUAGAUAUGUGUUUUUUUGUUGUUCGUUUGGUGGUUUGAGGCAUCAUUGAUCACUAUAACUAACUUAUCGCUUGAAGGAGAAGAUUUGCUAUCAAAGAUUGGUUUGAAACAGAAGCAAAAUUCGAGCCUGAAGCUAGAAUUUUAUCACAUUGAUUUAUUCAAAAUUAUUUUAUUUCAAUUACCUCUAUUAUUUUUACUUUUAUUAGAUUCAGAUUUCUUUUUUAUUUUAUUUUUUCA